GAGGGGUUUUAUUCUUGCUUAUUUAUUUGUUUUAAUUUAAUAUUAUAUGUAAAUUAUUGUGAUUUUAGUAAUUCUUAAGGACUUAUUGAUGUAUAAUUUCGAGAAGAUAAUAUAAUUGUAAUAAAUAUUGCAGUAAUAAUUACUAUAAAUUAAGGGGGACUUUGAUUUGAUUAUUUUUAUUGAGUAUUGAUUAAAUAUGUGCCAGCAGUCGCGGUUAGACAUAGGAUGCAAAUGAAUAAUUUCAGUUAAUUAGUUAAUUUGUUAUAUAUAUUAAUUUAUUUUGAUUAUUUUUGGGUGAAAUCAGAAUUUUUGUUUAUGUUAAUUUUUAAUUAAUGAAGCUAUGAAAUCUAGUAUAUUUAGACUAGGAUUAGAUACCCUAUUAUUUUGGAUUUAAAUGAAAAUUGGGCUUGAGUAGUAUUAGUUAUGAGCUUGAAACUUAAAGAAUUUGGCGGUUUUUUAGUCUAUUUAGAGGAAUCUGUUCCAUUAUCGAUAAUCCACGUUGGACCUUACUUAAUCUUAUUUAAUUUGUAUAUCGCUGUUUAUUUGAAUAUCUUUUUAGGGUUAAUAAAUUUUCUUAAUAUUUUAUUAAAUAGUAUUUCAGGUCAAGGUGCAGUUGAUGAUUAAGUGGAAAUGGAUUACAAUAUUUAUUAGAUAUAUGGAUUAUAUUUUGUAAAAUUUAUAUGAAGGUGGAUUUAAUAGUAAUUUUAUUUAGAUUAAUAAUUUGAUUUUAGCUCUAAAAUGUGCACACAUCGCCCGUCACUCUCGUUAAUUAAGGUGAGAUAAGUCGUAACAAAGUAGGUGUACUGGAAGGUGUAGCUAGAUUGAA
rnacentral:ncRNA from 1 species